AUGCCCUCCUCCCUGCCCUCUGGAGUCCAUUUCCCCUAUGUUGGCCCCCAAUUUCCCCCAACUGGACCCCCUUUAUGUCUCAGAGAAGCCCCCCCCACAACCUCCAGUUCUCCCCUCCCACCCCUCCCUCCACCCCCAGACCCUCUUUCCUCUCAUGUGGUCAGCCUUGUUCUCCUCUUUUCAUUCCCCCCACUCUCUCCCCCAGACUCCCUUUCCACCCCACAGAAGCUCCACACAACUCUCCAGUUUCCCUCUUCCACCUCUCCCUCCAUCCCCAGCCUCACUUUCCACCCCACAGAAGCCUCACUAGCUCAUUUCUCCCCCUCCCACCCGCCGCUGAACCCCCCUUAUCCCCCAUUGGAAUCAUGCAGAAGGAUCUGCAGGAGAAGUCCUAGAGAGGUUUGGGUGCAUCCAGUGGGUUCAGGACUCAACCAGAAGAGUCUGGAGAUGUCCCAGAUGGAUUGUGUCCUGUUGUGGGGAAGCGUUGCAGACGGAAAGCUGCUGUGUGGAGCCCCACACGACGAGCUGCAGAGGCCGCUGAAGGAAAAGGAGAAUCAAGGCAAUGUGCAGAGGUAAAGGCUGUCCAGCUGGCCUCAGAUGCUGCUGAACGGGAGAGGUGGCCAAUGCUCCAUCUUUACACGACUCAUGGAUGGUGGUAAGUGCCUUAUGGGGGUGGUUCCAGCAGUGGGAAGAAAACCCCAAAUAGGGGUAAAUCUAUUAGGGUUGCUGAGCUGUGGAAAGACAUUGCUGCCCAAACAAAGAAUACGGGUGUAAAGGUGUGCCAUGGCGGUGCUCAUGUGCUCAGCAGUCGGGCCGAUGAAGGACAACAAAACAACCAUCAGGAAGAUCAAGCUGCCAAAAUUGAGGCUUCGUUUAUUUUCCCUUGCUUUGCUUUGGUUUGCUCUUUUGUUCUUCCUUUUCACCUCUGCUUCACACUGCUUUGCAUUGCUUUCUAGUUUUCUUGCUUUGCUUUGCUUUCCUUUCUACUCUGCUUGUUCCCGCUUCUUCCCUUUGCUUUUGUUUUUUUCUUUUUUUUUUAGUUUUUGUUUUUUAAAUUUACUUUAUGUUCUGUUGAGUCCUUUUUCCUUUUCUGACUUGUUUAACUCAAGCCUGUUCCCCGCGCUUUCCUUCUGUGCUUGGCGCUGUUGCAGUUCUGUCUCAAUGUCACGAGUACCUUUGCAUUCCUUUGCACUGCUUUUUAGUUUUCUUUCUUUGCUUUGUUUUCCUUUCAGCUUUGCUGGUUCUCUUUCCUUUGCUUUUUUAUUUUUUUCUCACUGUUUUUUCAUUUACUCUUUUUAGCUUCAGUUAGGUUUUUUUUUCUUUCCCUUUCUCUGUUUAAUGCUUUACUUUGCCAUGAUAUUGCAUUGUAUGGUUUUGAUUUUUCUUUGCAUGUCUUUUUUUUUGCUGUGCUUUUCUUCUGCUUUUUUUUUUAUUAUUGCUUUAUUUUUGUUUGUUUUUUAAGCAAACAUUUGUUUUGUUUGUUUCUUUUGUACUGUUUUGCUUUGGAUGUUGUUGCUUUGCUUUCCUUUUUUUUUCUCUUGUAUUUUUAUUAAAACAUUCUAACAUUUAUUUGAUG
ensembl:lncRNA